GACGAACGCUGGCGGCGUGCUUAACACAUGCAAGUCGAACGGGUCUGCCCUGUUUUUUGCGGGGUGGGUCAGUGGCGAACGGGUGAGUAACACGUGAGUAACCUGCCCCUCACCUCUGGAUAACCGCUUGAAAGGGUGGCUAAUACGGGGUGUUCUGGCUGUGCCGCAUGGUGUGGCUGGGAAAGAUUCACUUUUGUGGUGUUUUGGUGGGGGAUGGGCUCGCGGCCUGUCAGCUUGUUGGGGGGGUGAUGGCCUGCCAAGGCUUUGACGGGGAGCCGGCCUGAGAGGGUGGGCGGCCACACUGGGACUGAGAUACGGUCCAGACUCCGGCGGGAGGCAGCAUUGGGGGGUAUGGCACAAUGGGCGGAAGCCUGAUGCAGCGACGUCGCGUGAGGGAUGGAGGCCUUCGGGUUGUGAACCUCUUUCGCCGGUGAAGAAGGUCCUGCUCUUUGUGGUGGGGUUGACGGUAGCCGGGUUAUGAAGCGCCGGCUAACUACGUG
rnacentral:rRNA from 1 species